rnacentral:rRNA from 1 species
UAACGUAGCGAAAGUUACGCUAAUACCGCAUAUUCUGUGAGCAGGAAAGCAGGGGAUCGCAAGACCUUGCGCUGAUUGAGCGGCCGAUAUCAGAUUAGCUAGUUGGUGAGGUAAAGGCUCACCAAGGCGACGAUCUGUAGCGGGUCUGAGAGGAUGAUCCGCCACACUGGAACUGAGACACGGUCCAGACUCCUACGGGAGGCAGCAGUGGGGAAUUUUGGACAAUGGGCGCAAGCCUGAUCCAGCCAUGCCGCGUGAGUGAAGAAGGCCUUCGGGUUGUAAAGCUCUUUCGGCCGGGAAGAAAUCGCACAGGUUAAUACCCUGUAUGGAUGACGGUACCGGAAUAAGAAGCACCGGCUAACUACGUG